GUAACAAGGUCUCCGUUGGUGAACCAGCGGAGGGAUCAUUACCGAGUUUACAACUCCCAAACCCCUGUGAACAUACCAAUUGUUGCCUCGGCGGAUCAGCCCGCUCCCGGUAAAACGGGACGGCCCGCCAGAGGACCCCUAAACUCUGUUUCUAUAUGUAACUUCUGAGUAAAACCAUAAAUAAAUCAAAACUUUCAACAACGGAUCUCUUGGUUCUGGCAUCGAUGAAGAACGCAGCAAAAUGCGAUAAGUAAUGUGAAUUGCAGAAUUCAGUGAAUCAUCGAAUCUUUGAACGCACAUUGCGCCCGCCAGUAUUCUGGCGGGCAUGCCUGUUCGAGCGUCAUUUCAACCCUCAAGCCCUCGGGUUUGGUGUUGGGGAUCGGCGAGCCCUUGCGGCAAGCCGGCCCCGAAAUCUAGUGGCGGUCUCGCUGCAGCUUCCAUUGCGUAGUAGUAAAACCCUCGCAACUGGUACGCGGCGCGGCCAAGCCGUUAAACCCCCAACUUCUGAAUGUUGACCUCGGAUCAGGUAGGAAUACCCGCUGAACUUAA
rnacentral:rRNA from 1 species